CGUGAUUCUGCUACAACAUCUUCCAGAAGGUUUGAGCACGGAGCUAUGAACAUGAGCCCAGAAUGUCAGGUAAAAAGCAAUUAAGCAUCCUCUCAUUCAGCCUGGGAGGAAAACCCCCUAAAAAGGCCAGGAUAGAGGAUGCUGGCCAAGAGAAGGUGGCGAAAAGGGUAAGCCCAUUUGAGGAGGAGACCCAGGAGGAGAUGGUGCAGGUGGAAGAGGAAGAGACGGUGGAGGAGAUGGCUCGGGUGUCAGAAGAGACCAUCAAAACAAAAGGGAGAAAAGUACCAGGAGCAGCUACCUACAAUAAUGAAUGGACCUCGAAAUGGCCAUUUAUAACUGUAGGAAGCACCAGCUCCUAUUACUGGUGCUCUAUCUGCUGCCCAGAGACCUCCUGGGCCCAUCAAGGUGUGCGGGGUGUGACGAGGCACAUAGACAGUAAGGGGCAUCAGGACCAACAGCAGGCACUGAAGUCAACCAGCACAGUCAAAAACUUCUACUUGCCAGUGACUGCAGACAUGAAUGUGCAAGAGCUCAAGACAAGGAGGGCCGAGGUGAAAGUUGCCAUAGCAAUGGUUCAACAUAAUGUUUCAUUUGCUGUGGCUGACCAUUUCAGCCCCGUGUACAGGGAAUGCUUUAAAGACUCUCCCACAGCUCAAAAUUUCAAGAGUUUCAGCACAAAAACUACGUCCAUCAUUAAUCAAGCAGUUGCACCACAUUAUAGGAACGAGCUGGUGAUGAAGAUGAGGGAAAAUCCCUUUACGCCGGUCACGGAUGGCUCAAAUGACACAGAUGAGAAACAACCAAGGUUCAGGAGGCUGACGGAAGUCUGCCUCCUGAACCUUCAGGCCACAUUCCCAGUGUUCUCUACACUGAACCUCCUUCUCCAGAGAGGAAAGGCCUCCAUAUUCCAGCUGUAUGAAGAGAAACUCAGUUCGAGGUUCAUGACACCAGCAACACUACGAGGAGAAGUCCAUGACAUCCCCUACAAGGACCCACUGCACCAACUGCCAGAUUUCAGGAACUCCUUCCUUUUCAUGACCCAAAGGAACAGGACCAAGUAGGUGAGGAGUUUAUGGAGUAGGAAGAAUGUCCUCAACAAAGAACAAGUGGACGGUAUAUUUCUAUGUUUUCUCUCAGAGAUUGUGGAUUAACAUGAGUCGAGGAAUCGUCUGAAUGAUCGCCACGGCCCUCAGGAGGAGGACAGGAUUCCAGCCAGAGGACAUCUGCUGUAGCUGCUGGUGAUGAUGCUGCUGCCCCCCCGACCACCGCCACCACCGCUAAUGUUGCCGCCGCUGGUGGUGAUGGUGAUGUCUCUCCCAUGGAGGUGGACCCUCCGGAGACCAUUCACAACGAGGACCAGGACCAGGGGGAACCGAUGGACUGGGAAUGAGACUCUGCGUUCACCCUCAGCCAGCUCAACAGAGACAAGUGGCUAUCGUUGGAUCCGAACACCUGGAUGUUUUUAAUCACCCACAAACUGAGGAGUUUCCUGAGAGCCAGGUCAUCUUCAUACUCUGUGUCACAAAUCACGCGCUUGC